GAAUCCCGUCUUUGACAUGGACCACCAGCGCAUUGUGGUUGUGCUCUCAACGAGUCGAGUUGUUUGGGAAUGCAGCUCUAAAUGGGUGGUAAAUUCCAUCUAAAGCUAAAUAUUGGCGAGAGACCGAUAGCGAACAAGUACCGUGAGGGAAAGAUGAAAAGCACUUUGGAAAGAGAGUGAAACAGUACGUGAAAUUGUUGAAAGGGAAACGCUUGAAGUCAGUCGCGUCGGCCGAGACUCAGCCUUGCCUUGGCUUGGUGUAUUUCUUGGCCGACGGGUCAGCAUCAAUUUCGCCCCUUGGAUAAUGAUGAGGGAAAUGUGACACCUUUACAGGUGUGUUAUAGUCUCUUGUCGCAUGCAAGGGUCGGGAUUGAGGAACUCAGCAUGCACCUUCGGGUGUCGGGACUUUUGUCCACGAUGCAUGCUUAGGAUGUUGGCGUAAUGGCUUUAAACGACCCGUCUUGAAACACGGACCAAGGAGUCUAACAUGCCCGCGAGUGUUUGGGUGGAAAACCCAUUCGCGAAAUGAAAGUGAAAGUUGGGACCUCUGUCGUGGAGGGCACCGACACCCGGACCAGACCUUCUGUGACGGAUCUGCGGUAGAGCGUGUAUGUUAGGACCCGAAAGAUGGUGAACUAUGCCUGAAUAGGGUGAAGCCAGAGGAAACUCUGGUGGAGGCUCGUAGCGAUUCUGACGUGCAAAUCGAUCGUCAAAUUUGGGUAUAGGGGCGAAAGACUAAUCGAACCAUCUAGUAGCUGGUUCCUGCC
rnacentral:rRNA from 1 species